CGUAGGGGGCUAGCGUUGUCCGGAAUCAUUGGGCGUAAAGCGCGCGUAGGCUGCCCGAUAAGUCCGCUGUAAAAGUCAAAGGCUCAACCUUUGAAAGCCGGUGGAUACUGUCGGGCUAGAGUCCGGAAGAGGCGAGUAGAAUUCCUGGUGUAGCGGUGGAAUGCGCAGAUAUCAGGAGGAAUACCCAUAGCGAAGGCAGCUCGCUGGGACGGUACUGACGCUGAGGCGCGAAAGCGUGGGGAGCGAACAGGAUUAGAUACCCUGGUAGUCCACGCCGUAAACGAUGGGCACUAGGUGUGGGAGGUGUCGACUCCUCCCGUGCCGACGCUAACGCAUUAAGUGCCCCGCCUGGGGAGUACGGCCGCAAGGCUA
rnacentral:rRNA from 1 species